AGCGGCGAAUGGGUGAGUAACACGUGGGGAACCUGCCCCUAAGUCUGGGAUACCAUUUGGAAACAGGUGCUAAUACCGGAUAAUAAAGCAGAUCGCAUGAUCAGCUUUUGAAAGGCGGCGUAAGCUGUCGCUAAGGGAUGGCCCCGCGGUGCAUUAGCUAGUUGGUAAGGUAACGGCUUACCAAGGCGACGAUGCAUAGCCGAGUUGAGAGACUGAUCGGCCACAUUGGGACUGAGACACGGCCCAAACUCCUACGGGAGGCAGCAGUAGGGAAUCUUCCACAAUGGACGCAAGUCUGAUGGAGCAACGCCGCGUGAGUGAAGAAGGUUUUCGGAUCGUAAAGCUCUGUUGUUGGUGAAGAAGGAUAGAGGUAGUAACUGGCCUUUAUUUGACGGUAAUCAACCAGAAAGUCACGGCUAACUACGUGCCAGCAGCCGCGGUAAUACGUAGGUGGCAAGCGUUGUCCGGAUUUAUUGGGCGUAAAGCGAGCGCAGGCGGAAAAAUAAGUCUAAUGUGAAAGCCCUCGGCUUAACCGAGGAACUGCAUCGGAAACUGUUUUUCUUGAGUGCAGAAGAGGAGAGUGGAACUCCAUGUGUAGCGGUGGAAUGCGUAGAUAUAUGGAAGAACACCAGUGGCGAAAGGCGGCUCUCUGGUCUGCAACUGACGCUGAGGCUCGAAAGCAUGGGUAGCGAACAGGAUUAGAUACCCUGGUAGUCCAUGCCGUAACGAUGAGUGCUAAGUGU
rnacentral:rRNA from 1 species